GACGAACGCUGGCGGCGUGCUUAACACAUGCAAGUCGAACGAUGAAGGAGAGAUUGCUCUCCGGAUUAGUGGCGAACGGGUGAGUAACACGUGACUAACCUGCCCCUUUCUCUGGGAUACCGCUCCGAAAGGAGUGCUAAUACCGGAUACGAACUCUGAACACAUGUUCGGAGUUGGAAAGUUUUUCGGAAAGGGAUGGAGUCGCGGCCUAUCAGCUUGUUGGUGAGGUAAUGGCUCACCAAGGCGACGACGGGUAGCCGGCCUGAGAGGGCGACCGGCCACACUGGGACUGAGACACGGCCCAGACUCCUACGGGAGGCAGCAGUGGGGAAUAUUGCACAAUGGGCGAAAGCCUGAUGCAGCGACGCCGCGUGAGGGAUGAAGGUCUUCGGAUUGUAAACCUCUUUCAGUAGGGACGAAGCGAAAGUGACGGUACCUAAAGAAGAAGCACCGGCUAACUACGUGCCAGCCGCCGCGGUAA
rnacentral:rRNA from 1 species